AACACAGGUGCUGCAUGGCUGUCGUCAGCUCGUGUCGUGAGAUGUUGGGUUAAGUCCCGCAACGAGCGCAACCCUUGUCAUUAGUUGCUACGAAAGGGCACUCUAAAUGAGACUGCCGGUGACAAAACCGGGAGGAAGGUGGGGAUGACGUCAAGUCCUCAUGGCCCUUAUGGGUAGGGCUUCACACGUCAUACAAUGGUCGGGACAGAGGGUCGCCAACCCGCGAGGGGGAGCCAAUCCCAGAAACCCGAUCGUAGUCCGGAUUGUAGUCUGCAACUCGACUACAUGAAGUCGGAAUCGCUAGUAAUCGCGGAUCAGCAUGUCGCGGUGAAUACGUUCCCGGGUCUU
rnacentral:rRNA from 1 species